UACGGGGGGGGCAAGCGUUGUUCGGAAUUACUGGGCGUAAAGCGUGCGCAGGCGGCUUUGCAAGACAGUUGUGAAAUCCCCGGGCUUAACCUGGGAACUGCAUUUGUGACUGCAUGGCUAGAGUGCGGCAGAGGGGGAUGGAAUUCCGCGUGUAGCAGUGAAAUGCGUAGAUAUGCGGAGGAACACCGAUGGCGAAGGCAAUCCCCUGGGCCUGCACUGACGCUCAUGCACGAAAGCGUGGGGAGCAAACAGG
rnacentral:rRNA from 1 species